rnacentral:rRNA from 1 species
CCUACGGGAGGCAGCAGUGAGGAAUAUUGGUCAAUGGACGAGAGUCUGAACCAGCCAAGUCGCGUGAAGGAUGACUGCCCUAUGGGUUGUAAACUUCUUUUAUAUGGGAAUAAAAUGUUCCACGUGUGGGAUUUUGUAUGUACCAUAUGAAUAAGGAUCGGCUAACUCCGUGCCAGCAGCCGCGGUAAUACGGAGGAUCCGAGCGUUUUCCGGAUUUAAUGGGUUUAAAGGGAGCGUAGGUGGAUUGUUAAGUCAGUUGUGAAAGUUUGCGGCUCAACCGUAAAAUGGCAGUUGAAACUGGCAGUCUUGAGUACAGUAGAGGUGGGCGGAAUUCGUGGUGUAGCGGUGAAAUGCUUAGAUAUCACGAAGAACUCCGAUUGCGAAGGCAGCUCACUGGACUGCAACUGACACUGAGGCACGAAAGUGUGGGUAUCAAACAGGAUUAGAUACCCCGGUAGUC